UACGUAGGGUGCAAGCGUUGUCCGGAAUCACUGGGCGUAAAGGGCGCGUAGGCGGCAUGCCAAGCGUGUGGUGAAAGCCCGGGGCUCAACCCCGGGUCGGCCGUGCGGACUGGCGUGCUCGAGCACUGUAGGGGCGGGUGGAAUUCCGGGUGUAGCGGUGGAAUGCGUAGAGAUCCGGAAGAACACCGGUGGCGAAGGCGGCCCGCUGGGCAGGAAGGCUCGCAAGAGCCGGCUGACGCUGAGGCGCGACAGCGUGGGGAGCAAACAGG
rnacentral:rRNA from 1 species